rnacentral:rRNA from 1 species
UACAGAGGUCUCAAGCGUUGUUCGGAUUCAUUGGGCGUAAAGGGCGCGUAGGCGGCAGACCAAGUCCGGGGUGAAAUCUUUCGGCUUAACCGGAAAAGGGCCUUGGAUACUGGUUUGCUAGAGGGAGGUAGGGGUCUGUGGAACUUCUGGUGGAGCGGUGAAAUGCGUUGAUAUCAGAAGGAACGCCGGUGGCGAAAGCGACGGACUGGAUCUCUUCUGACGCUGAUGCGCGAAAGCCAGGGGAGCAAACGGG